rnacentral:misc_RNA from 1 species
GGGAGUUGGGAAGGAACCAGUGGGAAGAAGACUAAAUUGGCUGGAGGAAAUUCAAAUCGUGCAGUUUGCCAGGUAGAGGACUGUGGAGCAGAUCUGAGCAAUGCAAAAGAUUAUCACAGACGACAUAAAGUCUGCGAAACACAUUCUAAGGCGAGUAAUGCACUUGUUGCAAAUGUUAUGCAGCGAUUCUGUCAACAAUGUAGCAGGUUCCAUGUUCUUCAAGAGUUUGACGAAGGGAAACGAAGUUGUCGCAGGCGUUUGGCUGGCCAUAAUAAGCGCAGAAGAAAAGUUAAUCCAGAUAAUGUUGUUAAUGGAAACUCCCCACCUGAUGAGCAGACUAGUAGUUAUCUACUGUUAACACUAUUGCGAAUACUUGCAAAUUUACACUCCAAUGGAUCAAAUCAGACCACAGAUCAGGAUCUUCUUUCUCAUCUUAUACGAAGUCUUGCCUGCCAAUCUAGUGAGCAUG